AAGGAGCACCACGAGAAACACUCCAAUUGGUGGGGUGUGAGCCGUGAGGGGUUCUCGUCUGUAGUGGACGAGGGCCGGGUGCACAACAACAGGCAAUCGCCAGACACACUAUUGGGCCCUGAGACAACACUCGGCCGACUUCGGUUGAAGUGGUGUCCCUCCAUCUUGGUGGUGGGGUGUGGUGUUUGAGUAUUGGAUAGUGGUUGCGAGCAUCUAAAUGAACGCGUCGCCGGUAACGGUUACGAGUUCGUUUAGAGUAAUUUUUUCUUUUGGUUUUAGAGU
rnacentral:misc_RNA from 1 species